rnacentral:rRNA from 1 species
GCCAGACUCCUACGGGAGGCAGCAGUGGGGAAUAUUGCACAAUGGGGGGAACCCUGAUGCAGCGACGCCGCGUGGGUGAAGGAGCGUUUCGGCGCGUAAAGCCCUAUCGGCAGGGAAGAAGGAGGACGGUACCUGACUAAGAAGCCCCGGCUAACUACGUGCCAGCAGCCGCGGUAAUACGUAGGGGGCAAGCGUUAUCCGGAUUUACUGGGUGUAAAGGGGGCGCAGACGGCAGCGCAAGCCAGGAGUGAAAGCCCGGGGCCCAACCCCGGGACUGCUCUUGGAACUGCGCGGCUGGAGUGCAGGAGGGGCAGGCGGAAUUCCUGGUGUAGCGGUGAAAUGCGUAGAUAUCAGGAGGAACACCGGUGGCGAAGGCGGCCUGCUGGACUGCAACUGACGUUGAGGCCCGAAAGCGUGGGGAGCAAACAGGAUUAGAUACCCCAGUAAAC